rnacentral:misc_RNA from 1 species
GUGUGGUAACCCGGUGCGUUGGUGGGCCCCCCGMUUUCGUGCGGCCGACCGCCAGUGCAASGGGACGAUUCGUUCAGAAAAUCCCUCCAGSAAAUCCCUCCGUGCACGAUGCGGAGGGCAAUAUUCGGUGGGUUGUAUCGCAUAGUUGGGACGUGGCAACUCGGUGACCCUACGCUAAAAUAAUAGCAUGUCGUUCUACUCUCUCCCUCCCCGCGGGAGGGCGAGAGGUGAGAAGAAGUGGACCUCUUACGGCGUCCCGUGCGGUCCUCGGCGGCGGUUGCGGUCGUAYACAAAGUGUGUGCUGGCUUGWWYYRYGCCAUCCGUCUGGCCCUCGGGACCGUUGUGCGCUUACGGAUGCGGUGAAUUAGAUGGGGUCGGGUGCGCCGCGCGGCUCCCGACCCGACGAAUGGAAGGUGCUUGUGCACGCCGCGAGCGGGCAAGCGGUGGAUCGGAAAUCGAAUGGAAGGUUUUUAUGCGCACGCCGCGAGCGGGCAAACGAUGGCUCGGAAACGGAAUGCAAGUUGUUUGCGCACGCCGUGAGCGGGCAAACGAUGAAACGGGUCGGAAAAAAAGGCGUUUACGCACGCCGCAAGCGGGCGAACGAACGGAAUGGAAUUAACGA